GAUGAACGCUAGCGACAGGCUUAACACAUGCAAGUCGAGGGGCAGCGGGGAGGUAGCAAUACUUCCGCCGGCGACCGGCGCACGGGUGAGUAACACGUAUGGAACCUGCCCGUAGCAGGGGGAUAAGCGGAAGAAAUUCCGUCUAAUACCGCGUAAUAACUCCGAGAGGCAUCUCAUGGAGUUUAAAGGGUAACACCGGCUACGGAUGGCCAUGCGGCGCAUUAGCUAGUUGGCGGGGUAACGGCCCACCAAGGCGACGAUGCGUAGGGGUUCUGAGAGGAAGGCCCCCCACACUGGUACUGAGACACGGACCAG
rnacentral:rRNA from 1 species